UACGUAGGGGGCUAGCGUUGUCCGGAAUCAUUGGGCGUAAAGCGCGCGUAGGCGGCCAGAUAAGUCCGGUGUGAAAGUCAAAGGCUCAACCUUUGAAUGCCGCUGGAAACUGUCUGGCUUGAGUCCGGAAGGGGCGAGUGGAAUUCCUGGUGUAGCGGUGAAAUGCGCAGAUAUCAGGAGGAACACCAAUGGCGAAGGCAGCUCGCUGGAACGGUACUGACGCUGAGGCGCGAAAGCUAGGGGAGCAAACGGG
rnacentral:rRNA from 1 species